rnacentral:rRNA from 1 species
AAUAGAUACCCUGGUAGUCCAUGCCGUAAACGUUGGGAACUAGAUGUGGGGACCAUUCCACGGUCUCCGUGUCGCAGCUAACGCAUUAAGUUCCCCGCCUGGGGAGUACGGCCGCAAGGCUAAAACUCAAAGGAAUUGACGGGGGCCCGCACAAGCGGCGGAGCAUGCGGAUUAAUUCGAUGCAACGCGAAGAACCUUACCAAGGCUUGACAUAUACCGGAAACGUCUGGAAACAGUCGCCCCGCAAGGUCGGUAUACAGGUGGUGCAUGGUUGUCGUCAGCUCGUGUCGUGAGAUGUUGGGUUAAGUCCCGCAACGAGCGCAACCCUCGUUCUAUGUUGCCAGCACGUGAUGGUGGGGACUCAUAGGAGACUGCCGGGGUCAACUCGGAGGAAGGUGGGGAUGAGGUCAAAUCAUCAUGCCCCUUAUGUCUUGGGCUUCACGCAUGCUACAAUGGCCGGUACAAAGGGCAGCAAUACCGUGAGGUGGAGCGAAUCCCAAAAAGCCGGUCUCAGUUCGGAUUGAGGUCUGCAACUCGA